UACCAGCACCCCGAGUGGUCGGGACGAUUAUUGGGCCUAAAGCAUCCGUAGCCGGUUUUACAAGUCCCCCGUUAAAUCCAGCUGCUUAACAGAUGGGCUGCGGAGGAUACUAUAAGACUAGGAGGCAGGAGAGGCAAGCGGUACUCAGUGGGUAGGGGUAAAAUCCGUUGAUAUCCUAAGGAACACCGGUGGCGAAAGCGGCGUACUGGGUCUUAUCUGACGCUGAGGCACGAAAGCUAGGGGAGCGAACGGG
rnacentral:rRNA from 1 species